GCGUAAUAGCUCACUGGUCGAGUCGGCCUGCGCGGAAGAUGUAACGGGGCUAAACCAUGCACCGAAGCUGCGGCAGCGACGCUUAUGCGUUGUUGGGUAGGGGAGCGUUCUGUAAGCCUGUGAAGGUAUACUGUGAGGUAUGCUGGAGGUAUCAGAAGUGCGAAUGCUGACAUAAGUAACGAUAAAGCGGGUGAAAAGCCCGCUCGCCGGAAGACCAAGGGUUCCUGUCCAACGUUAAUCGGGGCAGGGUGAGUC
rnacentral:rRNA from 1 species